rnacentral:rRNA from 1 species
AAACGCUUGGAGUCAGUCGCGUUGGUCGGGAUUCAGUCGCUCUUACCGGAGUGGAUUACUUCCCGAUGAACGGGUCAACAUCGAUUUCGGCCGGUGGACAAAGGGGAGAGAAAGGUGGCACCUUCGGGUGUGUUAUAGUCUCUCUUUCGCAUACACCGACUGGGAUCGAGGAUCGCAGCACGCCUUUAUGGCCGGGGGUUCGCCUCACGUAACGUGCUUAGGAUGUUGGCAUAAUGGCUUUAAGCGA